rnacentral:tRNA from 1 species
AAAAUCCGUCGACUUUAAACAUCGUGAGGGUUCAAGUCCCUCUAUCCCCA